UGGGGAAUAUUGCACAAUGGACGGAAGUCUGAUGCAGCAACGCCGCGUGCGGGAUGACGGCCUUCGGGUUGUAAACCGCUUUUUCUCAUGACGAAGUUUUUUGACGGUAGUGGGGGAAGAAGCACCGGCUAACUACGUGCCAGCAGCCGCGGUGAUACGUAGGGUGCGAGCGUUGUCCGGAAUUAUUGGGCGUAAAGAGCUUGUAGGCGGUUUGUCGCGUCGAUAGUGCAAACUCAGUGCUUAACGCUGAGCCUGCUGUUGAUACGGGCAGACUAGAGGAAGGUAGGGGAGAAUGGAAUUCCCGGUGGAGCGGUGGAAUGCGCAGAUAUCGGGAGGAACACCAGUGGCGAAGGCGGUUCUCUGGGCCUUUCCUGACGCUGAGAAGCGAAAGCGUGGGGAGCGAACAGG
rnacentral:rRNA from 1 species